GUGCCAGCCGCCGCGGUAAUACCGGCGGCCCGAGUGAUGGCCGAUCUUAUUGGGCCUAAAGCGUCCGUAGCUGGCCGCGCAAGUCCAUCGGGAAAUCCACCCGCCCAACGGGUGGCCGUCCGGUGGAAACUGCACGGCUUGGGACCGGAAGGCGCGACGGGUACGUCCAGGGUAGGAGUGAAAUCCCGUAAUCCUGGACGGACCGCCGAUGGCGAAAGCACGUCGCGAGAACGGAUCCGACAGUGAGGGACGAAAGCGCGGGGAGCAAACAGGAUUAGAUACCCGGGUAGUCC
rnacentral:rRNA from 1 species